AUUGAACGCUGGCGGCAUGCUUUACACAUGCAAGUCGAACGGCAGCGCGGGCUUCGGCCUGGCGGCGAGUGGCGAACGGGUGAGUAAUACAUCGGAACGUGCCCAGUAGUGGGGGAUAGCUCGGCGAAAGCCGGAUUAAUACCGCAUACGACCUGAGGGUGAAAGCGGGGGAUCUUCGGACCUCACGCUAUUGGAGCGGCCGAUGGCAGAUUAGCUAGUUGGUGGGGUAAAGGCCUACCAAGGCGACGAUCUGUAGCUGGUCUGAGAGGACGACCAGCCACACUGGGACUGAGACACGGCCCAGACUCCUACGGGAGGCAGCAGUGGGGAAUUUUGGACAAUGGGCGAAAGCCUGAUCCAGCAAUGCCGCGUGUGUGAUGAAGGCCUUCGGGUUGUAAAGCACUUUUGGCGGGAACGAAAAGGACUGUGCCAAUACCACGGUUCGAUGACGGUACCCGCAGAAUAAGCACCGGCUAACUACGCG
rnacentral:rRNA from 1 species